rnacentral:rRNA from 1 species
GACGAACGCUGGCGGCGUGCUUAACACAUGCCAGUCGAACGGAAAGGCCCUGCUUUUGUGGGGUGCUCGAGUGGCGAACGGGUGAGUAACACGUGAGUAACCUGCCCUUGACUUUGGGAUAACUUCAGGAAACUGGGGCUAAUACCGGAUAGGAGCUCCUGCUGCAUGGUGGGGGUUGGAAAGUUUCGGCGGUUGGGGAUGGACUCGCGGCUUAUCAGCUUGUUGGUGGGGUAGUGGCUUACCAAGGCUUUGACGGGUAGCCGGCCUGAGAGGGUGACCGGCCACAUUGGGACUGAGAUACGGCCCAGACUCCAACGGGAGGCAGCAGUGGGGAAUAUUGCACAAUGGGCGGAAGCCUGAUGCAGCAACGCCGCGUGCGGGAUGACGGCCUUCGGGUUGUAAACCGCUUUCGCCUGUGACGAAGCGUGAGUGACGGUAAUGGGUAAAGAAGCACCGGCUAACUACGUG